UCGACGCUAACUAAUUUCAUUGGAUAACUCUGCAACUGUUUUGAUAAAACUUGCGGUUCAUAUGGUCAUGUUACCAUUAUUGCAGUGCGUUUACGUUGAUAAGAGCAAAGUCGCCAUAUACGCGCUUGAAAACAUUUUCAAUAUUUAGUAUCAACAACUUUAAGUCCGUCUUUUCAGUCUCUAGAUGCAACUAAGUGGACGAAUCGAAUCGCAUGUAUUGAACGGGGACAAAACGACAACAACAAAGAAGCAGAUUAUAAGCAAUAACAUGUAGGUAUCUACAGUCCAAAGCGGCCUUCAACAGGAAAGAAGCGUCGUUGAAUAUAUUAAUGAUUGAACAAUAAGCCAUAUGCAAAUAAAAGUUCAUUUGUAUAGGAAUUUCCCUUCAUCUCUCCUCGGUCGGCGGAAUUUUCCACUCGUGGUUCCUUCUCAAAGCCGCACAGUGGAGUAUUUGGUGGUAAUUUCUUAAAAA